UUUCCACUUCUAUGUUCUGCAACAGAUCUUGUAAAAUUAGUGUUAGUUUUUCUUUAAACAUUUUGUAAAAUCUUCAAUUAAAUCAUAUAGGCUUGGUCAUUUCCCUUUUGGAAGAUUUUGAUUUAUGAACUCAAACUGUUUAUUAGGCUCACGACUAGUCAAAUUAUUAACUUCAUAUUGGACUAUGGACUGCAGAGGCAAGAGGAAAGCCGUGGGACCCGCCAUCAUGUCAUUCUGCUCCACAGCGCUGCUUCCAUCAUGACGAAACUGGGAGGAGGGGGCUCGCAGCUUCAGGGAGAUGUGGAAACCAGAGAUGCAUACUGCUCACCCCGCACGGUUCUUUUCCAUAUGGCAGGCUCAGCUAAUUGCUCAGUUUGGCCACAGCGAUAUUUUUUUCAGCAAAUUUGUGCUCCAAGUACUAUGUAUUUUUAGAAUCUUGAAGCUACCCUACCAAUGGAGCUGCUUGCCUGGAAGGAGCCAGGCAGGAAGGGAAGGCUGGGUGGACCCGACUGCUUUAAAGACUCUCAAAUUCCUGUUCUUGUCCUUUACAUGAUAAUCUCUCUAAACUUCCCAUUUUCAUGUUUCACAUAAAUAUUUUUCCACUUUGC